ACUCCUACGGGAGGCAGCAGUGAGGAAUAUUGGACAAUGGGUGAGAGCCUGAUCCAGCCAUCCCGCGUGAAGGACGACGGCCCUAUGGGUUGUAAACUUCUUUUGUACAGGGAUAAACCUUUCCACGUGUGGAAAGCUGAAGGUACUGUACGAAUAAGCACCGGCUAACUCCGUGCCAGCAGCCGCGGUAAUACGGAGGGUGCAAGCGUUAUCCGGAUUUAUUGGGCGUAAAGCGCGCGUAGGUGGCUAAUUAAGUCAAAUGUGAAAUCCCCGAGCUUAACUUGGGAAUUGCAUUCGAUACUGGUUAGCUAGAGUAUGGGAGAGGAUGGUAGAAUUCCAGGUGUAGCGGUGAAAUGCGUAGAGAUCUGGAGGAAUACCGAUGGCGAAGGCAGCCAUCUGGCCUAAUACUGACACUGAGGUGCGAAAGCAUGGGGAGCAAACAGGAUUAGAUACCCUGGUAGCUA
rnacentral:rRNA from 1 species